rnacentral:rRNA from 1 species
UUCAGACCACUUAGGGGAACCUGUCUCAUAAUCGAUAAUCCACGAUACACCUAACCUCUUUUUGCUUCCCAGUUUGUAUACCGUCGUCGUCAGGUAACUUUUAAGAAAUCGGGGGUUAGCUAAAACGUUAAAUGUAAACUUAAACGUCAGGUCAAGGUGCAGCCAAUAAGGAGGUGAAGAUGGGUUACAAUUAUUUUACUUAUAAUACGGAAAAGCUUGUAUUGAACAAAUAGCUAAAAAGGAGGACUUAAAAGUAAAAUUAAUUAUACAAAUAU